ensembl:rRNA 5S_rRNA 5S ribosomal RNA
GCUUACGGCCAUACCACCCUGAACACGCCCGAUCUCGUCUGAUCUCGGAAGCUAAGCAGGGUCGGGCCUCGUCAGUACUUGGAUGGGAGACCGCCUGGGAAUAGCAGGUGCUGUAAGCU